rnacentral:rRNA from 1 species
UAGGGAAUCUUCGGCAAUGGACGGAAGUCUGACCGAGCAACGCCGCGUGAGUGAAGAAGGUUUUCGGAUCGUAAAGCUCUGUUGUUAGAGAAGAACGUUGGUAGGAGUGGAAAAUCUACCAAGUGACGGUAACUAACCAGAAAGGGACGGCUAACUACGUGCCAGCAUCCGCGGUAAUACGUAGGUCCCGAGCGUUGUCCGGAUUUAUUGGGCGUAAAGCGAGCGCAGGCGGUUCUUUAAGUCUGAAGUUAAAGGCAGUGGCUUAACCAUUGUACGCUUUGGAAACUGGAGGGCUUGAGUGCAGAAGGGGAGAGUGGAAUUCCGUGUGUAGCGGUGAAAUGCGUAGAUAUAUGGAGGAACACCGGUGGCGAAAGCGGCUCUCUGGUCUGUAACUGACGCUGAGGCUCGAAAGCGUGGGGAGCAAACAGG